AUAACUGAUUGCUAUAUUUUAGGAUUUUUUUCUGAUUAUAAAGUGUAUCUUUCUAGAAACCAUAGAAAUUUCAAUAUAUGCUCAAACUGAAGCCAUUCCUAAUGGGAAUAUCAGAAAAAGAAGAACUUGGAAUUCAGAAGGAAAAGUAAAGAAACUGGUUAAGAAUUAAUAAAGGCUUUAGCAGUGAACUUUUAAGAUAGCUAAAGCUGGAAGAAAAUAAACUCCGAAGUUCAAACUGUGUUCCUGUAUUUGUUAGCUCUCAAGGGAAUUGAGGGUGAAGAAGGAGCUAAAGGCAGGAGCUUUGGCAAGAUAUCAUCAAGCCAAAUAUCAGAUAAUCUCAUAUGUUUAACUAAGCUGAGUUAAUUAAAUAAUGAUUGCCCAAGAUUUUUCCACC
rnacentral:lncRNA from 1 species